rnacentral:rRNA from 1 species
GACGAACGCUGGCGGCGUGCCUAAUACAUGCAAGUAGAACGCUGAAGAGAGGAGCUUGCUCUUCUUGGAUGAGUUGCGAACGGGUGAGUAACGCGUAGGUAACCUGCCUUGUAGCGGGGGAUAACUAUUGGAAACGAUAGCUAAUACCGCAUAACAAUGGAUGACACAUGUCAUUUAUUUGAAAGGGGCAAUUGCUCCACUACAAGAUGGACCUGCGUUGUAUUAGCGAGUAGGUGAGGUAAUGGCUCACCUAGGCGACGAUACAUAGCCGACCUGAGAGGGUGAUCGGCCACACUGGGACUGGGACACGGCCCAGACUCCGACGGGGGGCAGCAGUAGGGAAUCUUCGGCAAUAGGGGCAACCCUGACCGAGCAACGCCGCGUGAGUGAAGAAGGUUUUCGGAUCGUAAAGCUCUGUUGUAAGUCAAGAACGGGUGUGAGAGUGGAAAGUUCACACUGUGACGGUAGCUUACCAGAAAGGGACGGCUAACUACGUG